rnacentral:lncRNA from 10 species
AGACAAACCCAGACAGCCCUGGGGACCUUGAAUGUGAGCAAGGGGAGCAGAAAGGAGGCUCCAGCCCACCCAGGGCCCCUGCAGGGUCUGCACACACAAUUACAGGUCCUCAUUUCCCUCUCCUAAUGAUGCCCCAAAACAUUAAGGGAAGUUAAAUCAAACCACCAGGUGUCCAGCAUGAACAGCUGAAAUAAUAAAUUCACGAGGUAAUUUGAAUCCAAAUAACUGAUGAUUUGUUCCAUGAAUGCCAGAGCUGGAAGGGAUGGGGUUGGCAGAAGAGACAAGACUGGACCAUGGACCUGGUGGUUCUGUGCAGAGGCCAAAGCUACUCUCCUUCCCACCUGGCCCUGUGCUGGGCCUAACCUGGAGCCCCCUCUAUCCUCUGCCUCAUUCUUCUCCGGGUCAAGGUCCAGCAUGAACUCCAUGUCCUCCAGGAAGCCCUGGUGGACUUGGGCAGACCUGGGGACACGUCCAGCCUCCUGGCAAGAUGGGGGUAACAGGAGUGUGUAUAAAGGGGAAGGCAAGAAUGUGCCCUUGGUGGAGCAGUGAAAAGAAGCCCUCAUGUGACAAGUGUUUUGCUCCUAACCCACCUCCUCUGGUGACAUCUUCUGGGUUAACUGCUCUUGCUGAUCUCUGCACAUAAACCAAGCUAACUGUGAGAGGCCUUUCAUUUCUAGUUUAAAGCAAGGAGACCACAGUUCCUUCUGAACACUCACCCCCAAGGAGAUAAGGAGGGCGUCCCAUGAGCAACACUGUGUGUUAAAGAUGUACACGAGCACUGGGACCUGACCAAGGACAAACACGUCUCCAGCCCCCUCAGACCCUUGCUGCUGCUCAGAUGUCCGCUGUCAUCGGUCACAUCCUAACCUCAACCCCCUCUCUCCUCCCACAUAAAAGGAGGCUGAAAUUCAUAGUAACUUCAGAUGGUUCUUUAGGACACUGGCCCACCACCUUCUCGGUUGCUGGCUCUCCAAAACAAAGCCCCCUCCCUUGACCCAAUUCCUUGUUUCUUGACGUACUGGCUGUUGUGCAGUGCAUGGUACCGGCUUGAACUCGGUUAUGUUGGCAUGGCCUCUGGCGGUGCUCAGUUUGUGUGGAUGAGUAUUUUACAGCUACUGUCCUAUUUCCAGUCCCCUUCCUCUGGACGGCUAUGGGAUGUGCUGUGGAUGCCCUCUCUUAGGCUGGAAUAAACCACCCUACCUUCUCCUCUGCCUUGUCUCCACCAAAUAAACUCCUUAAGGCAGGGAUAGAGUCUUGCACUCCACGAAGAAGUAUUGCUGCAUCCUCAGCUGUGUAAGAGUGACCGGGCUUCUUCUAUUCCACCUGUAAUGGAACUUUAGGCACGCAGAGAGAGAUGGCAAAUUUGUGCUGGCUGAAGGGGUCAGCAAAUGCAUAUAAGGCUUCUUGUGCUCCAGAGAGAGAAUGGAGUGCAGUCAGUGAGACCCUGAGGGGAGAAGGAACCAAAAGCCUGGGCAGAAGGGAUCGUGGAGGUGCCCAGGGUCAGGAGGGAUGGGAAGGGUGAGGAACACAAGAGAUCACCUGGAGGCAUUAGAGGAGAAGGCAGGCACUGGGGAUGGUGCCGCUGAUCCAGGUGGAGCAACAUCCUAGGACCCGAGUGCUGGGCAGGUGCAUCCGUGGAGGGAAGCUUCUCUCCUCUCUCGGCUCCUGCUGAGAGAGGCAAUCAUUCCCCUGGCUUGCCCUGCAAGAGACAGGAGCUCUAGGUAGAUCUCUGCUAUCUAGGGAAUAGAAUGUGAAUAUUUGAAAGUUCUAGAGGUCAAGUCUUAGGUUCCCUCUCAGCUCAGAUCCCAAAUGGUACACUCUACCCUAACCCCCUUUUCUUGUAGCUUUGCUACAUGGAGAGGAAAAUACCUUGCCAGACACCAACAGUCCCUUCUCAGCACUUUUGUGUGAAGACAACUCAGACCCUAAGAGAAUGGGGUCUAAUUUGCAGGUGCCACUGGAAGGCAGAGGUCACGGGAGCCCUGGACUUCAGACAAGGUAGAGGGAUCCUGGAGACAGCACAUCUGGCCCUGGAGCCCUGCCCACCCGGGGAGUGAGGGCAGCUCUCCUGCUCUCCUAGGAGGCCUGCCCGAGGACCCCCAUGUCCUCUAUGUGUGGGAUUCUGCAGUUUGCACUCACAACCCAGAGCCUUUUACCCAACUACCCUGUUUGUAGGAAUGUGUCCAAAAUAAGCAUCAGACAAGUACAUGAAGAUGAAUGUGCAAAGACGUUCAUAACAGGAUUGUUUAUAAUCAUGAAAAAUGAUCUGCAGAUUUCCUGUCUGCUGUGCAGGAUGAGUUAGACGGGGAUGCAUCCAUAAAAUCACUUUGCCCUCAUUUAAAAUUAUAUCAUAGAUCUAUGUUUAAUGACAUAGUAAACGGUACUCAAUGCAUUAAGUGAAAAAAGCAUAUACAUAUCAGGAUGUAUAUGAUCAAGUUUUUGUUAAAUGGAUGCAUGUAUGCAUGUCAGUAACUGUCUGUGUUUGCAAACAAAACGUCUAGCAAGACGUGCAUCAAAUAUUAACAAUCAUUAUCUUUGGAUUCUGGAUUUAUUGACUUCUAUUUUUGACUUUGCCCUUUGUUUUUCUAUGUUAUCUGACACUUUUACACUGAGUUUAUAUUAUUUUU